CCCAAACCCUCUUCCUUCAGAGUCCUAACCUCCACAGCUCCAUUGACCACUACUGUGCCUUCCCCCUCCAACCUCCAGAACUCAGAGGUCGCUCGCUCACCAUCACUCACCGUCAGGUGUCACUGGCUUCCCCUACUUCAUCUUCUCCUAAAUCCUAAACUCGUCAGUGUUGGCUUUUGAAUUAGUGAAUUUGAGCAUCUCGCCUCUCUCUCUCGGCUUCGAAUCUAAGCUUCUCGCCUCGUGCUCCAUGGGUUGUGCCACCGUUGAUUGAUUGCAGGCUCACAGGUCGCAGGUGAUGUCGUCGCUUGCUCCGUUGAUUGCUCUUUGUUCCUUCAUCAUCCUUCCCAUUACAGUAGCCAACAAAAAGAUUGAAGAUGGCCCCUCCCACUACUGAAAAAAAACAUUACAAAUGUUGAAGGAGAUUCUAACGCUGAAAGCAAUGAUUUAGCAUCAAUGUCUAACGAAGAAGCAACAUAAACAUAGACCCAAUAGAUUUAGUUAGAUUGAGUUAUUUUAAUUUGCUUUAGGUGGUUGUUAACUUGUUAUUAUGUGUUUUGAAGCUGAAAAUUUGCUUCAGAUAUCACUAGUAAAGGGAUUGUAAUUCGUGUGUU